ensembl:lincRNA
AUGCUUAGAAAACUUUUUAUGAUCCAACUUCUGCUGUUCGUGACACUGGUAGAAGCAAGGAAACCAUUUCUUAGUUUUCUGAAUAUAGAGAAGACUACAAUAUUUUUGACAAAGAUUGAAGAAAAAAUAAUUGUGAGAUCAAGUUACAAAGAUAAAUGGCCUAACUCCAGCUAUCUCUUUGUGAAAACAGAAGAUCCUAGAAUUUUGCAGGUGGUGAAUGUGACCAAGACCUCAUCAAAUGUUACAAACUUUACUAUCAAUCUAAUAACACAUCAAGAAGGAGAGACAAAUUUGACCCUUCAACUCUGGGAUUCUGAAGCUUUUCUUACAUCAUGUACUGAGGUCUCUGCCAGCUAUAUGAACUCUUUUUGCAGCACCCAGUGAAGAUCUUUUGGGCAGUGUAGAACAUGUUUGCAGUGCUGCUACGAUGGAGUCUGAACACUAGGCUCCCCUGUGCACUGAUAGAUUUACCUUUUUCAUUUUCCAAAGGCAUUUGGAAGCAGAAUGGCCUUUUUGGCCAUAAAAAAACAAACCAAGACAAAUCAAACCAGAGUUUCAUGAAAAGAAUGAUGCAGUGGUAGCUGAGGCCUCCUCUACAAAAACAGAACAAAACAAAAAUGACUUUCUGGGUUUUAAUUUGAAGGAAUGAGAUAGUUGAUCCUUUAUCCAUCUAAAGUUGUAUACACUGAUUUUAGCAGUGUUGUCAAAUCAGUGGGACCAUUUUCACUUAGGAAAGAUUUAAAGGUGACUCUGAUAUUUCUGGAAAUGUCUGGAAAUUUUCAUUUGGUUAUAUGUCAGUGCUUUUGAGGAUGGAUUUUGCAAGAUUUUAAAAUUUUAACAUGAUUCAUAAUGAGAAACCAAAAAGUUUCUGAAGGCUUUCUUUAAAAUCAAGAAAUUAAGGGCUGAGGAUUUAGCUCUGUGGUGCUGCACCUGCCUGGCAAGUGCAAGGUCCUGAGUUCAAUCCGUGGGACCCAAUCAAUCAAUCAAGAAACCAGAACUAUCAUUUGAUAAGCAAACAGAAGUAUCCACAUCAGUCUCUAUUUUUUUUUCUUUUUUUCCCCUUUUACUGAAGAUUGAAUUUGGGGUGCUCUACCACCGAAAUAUUUUUUGUUUUGAGACGUCUAAGUGCGUUUCUCCUACCUCAGCCUACUGAAUAGCUGUAAUUACAAGUGUGUACUACCAUGCCCAAUACAAAUCAAAUUCUUAAGACAUCAUUCUUCAGAAAAACGUAGACAAGUUUUAGAUCUUUGCGAAGUUUGAGCAUCCACCGUUCACAUUAUUUGUCCUUGAGAUGUGUUUUACACUGGUAACAGCACCUUGUCUUCUGAUUAAACUGAAGGAAGCCAUCACGUCAGAUGCAAAGAGCAACAUAACCUACUGUUCUGUUCCUCUUGUGGACAGGACAUCUUAUAUCUGUGCAACGCUCUAGACAUUAUGGCAAUAUAUAUGCUAUGGUGCCACAUCUGCUAUUUCAUGAGGAGGAACCAUUUUUAAGGGCUAUUUAGUCUGUGUUUUAUGCAGUGCAACAUUUUACCAUGUACAUUCAGGAAAUGUGGACUUUGGAGACAGAAUGUCUGCCUAUUCCAUUCUGUGAACUUGCAGAGGAUAAAUCGCUUAACUUCACUGAGCUGUCAGUCUCGUGUUUCUGAUGAAGACAAUCAUACUUUCUUCAUGGAACUGCUGCAAUGUUUAAGUUAAACAAUGCACAUGAAAACACAGUUGCCUGAAGCACUUAAGUCAGUGAGAACUAACUGAGUUAUGGAGAAUAGGAGCGGUUGGGGCCGGGUAUCUUUU